GACGAACGCUGGCGGCGUGCUUAGCACAUGCAAGUCGAACGGAAAGGCCCUGCUUUUGUGGGGUGCUCGAGUGGCGAACGGGUGAGUAACACGUGAGUAACCUGCCCUUGACUUUGGGAUAACUUCAGGAAACUGGGGCUAAUACCGGAUAGGAGCUCCUGCUGCAUGGUGGGGGUUGGAAAGUUUCGGCGGUUGGGGAUGGACUCGCGGCUUAUCAGCUUGUUGGUGGGGUAGUGGCUUACCAAGGCUUUGACGGGUAGCCGGCCUGAGAGGGUGACCGGCCACAUUGGGACUGAGAUACGGCCCAGACUCCUACGGGAGGCAGCAGUGGGGAAUAUUGCACAAUGGGCGGAAGCCUGAUGCAGCAACGCCGCGUGCGGGAUGACGGCCUUCGGGUUGUAAACCGCUUUCGCCUGUGACGAAGCGUGGGUGACGGUAAUGGGUAAAGAAGCACCAGCUAACUACGUG
rnacentral:rRNA from 1 species